rnacentral:rRNA from 1 species
CCUACGGGAGGCAGCAGUGAGGAAUAUUGGUCAAUGGCCGUAAGGCUGAACCAGCCAAGUAGCGUGAGGGAAGACUGCCCUAUGGGUUGUAAACUUCUUUUAUGCGGGGAUAAAGGUGUCCACGUGUGGAUGUUUGCAGGUACCGCAUGAAUAAGGACCGGCUAAUUCCGUGCCAGCAGCCGCGGUAAUACGGAAGGUCCGGGCGUUAUCCGGAUUUAUUGGGUUUAAAGGGAGCGUAGGGCGGUCUUUAAGCGUGCCGUGAAAUUUUGUGGCUCAACCAUGAGAGUGCAGCGCGAACUGGAGGCCUUGAGUACGCGAGAGGCAGGCGGAAUUCGUGGUGUAGCGGUGAAAUGCUUAGAUAUCACGAAGAACCCCGAUUGCGAAGGCAGCCUGCCGCAGCGUUACUGACGCUGAGGCUCGAAAGCGCGGGUAUCAAACAGGAUUAGAUACCCUGGUAGUC